rnacentral:rRNA from 1 species
GGUUAAGCGACUAAGCGUACACGGUGGAUGCCCUGGCAGUCAGAGGCGAUGAAGGGCGUGCUAAUCUGCGAUAAGCGCCGGUAAGGUGAUAUGAACCGUUAUAACCGGCGAUACCCGAAUGGGGAAACCCAGUGUGACUCGUCACACUAUCAUUAACUGAAUCCAUAGGUUAAUGAGGCGAACCGGGGGAACUGAAACAUCUAAGUACCCCGAGGAAAAGAAAUCAACCGAGAUUCCCCCAGUAGCGGCGAGCGAACGGGGAGGAGCCCAGAGCCUGAAUCAGCAUGUGUGUUAGUGGAAGCGUCUGGAAAGGCGCGCGAUACAGGGUGACAGCCCCGUACACAAAAGCGCAUGUGCUGUGAGCUCGAUGAGUAGGGCGGGACACGUGGUAUCCUGUCUGAAUAUGGGGGGACCAUCCUCCAAGGCUAAAUACUCCUGACUGACCGAUAGUGAACCAGUACCGUGAGGGAAAGGCGAAAAGAACCCCGGCGAGGGGAGUGAAAAAGAACCUGAAACCGUGUACGUACAAGCAGUGGGAGCACAGGUUUACCUGUGUGACUGCGUACCUUUUGUAUAAUGGGUCAGCGACUUAUAUUCUGUAGCAAGGUUAACCGCAUAGGGGAGCCGGAGGGAAACCGAGUCUUAAUUGGGCGUUAAGUUGCAGGGUAUAGACCCGAAACCCGGUGAUCUAGCCAUGGGCAGGUUGAAGGUUGGGUAACACUAACUGGAGGACCGAACCGACUAAUGUUGAAAAAUUAGCGGAUGACCUGUGGCUGGGGGUGAAAGGCCAAUCAAACCGGGAGAUAGCUGGUUCUCCCCGAAAGCUAUUUAGGUAGCGCCUCGUGAAUUCAUCUCCGGGGGUAGAGCACUGUUUCGGCUAGGGGGCCAUCCCGGCUUACCAACCCGAUGCAAACUGCGAAUACCGGAGAAUGUUAUCACGGGAGACACACGGCGGGUGCUAACGUCCGUCGUGAAGAGGGAAACAACCCAGACCGCCAGCUAAGGUCCCAAAGUCAUGGUUAAGUGGGAAACGAUGUGGGAAGGCCCAGACAGCCAGGAUGUUGGCUUAGAAGCAGCCAUCAUUUAAAGAAAGCGUAAUAGCUCACUGGUCGAGUCGGCCUGCGCGGAAGAUGUAACGGGGCUAAACCAUGCACCGAAGCUGCGGCAGCGAACGUAUCACUUAAAGCGAUUCAGCGGGUUACGAUUGACGGAGCGAAGCGACGUCAAAGCGUAUACAAAGUCGAGUCGGUUUAAGGAUACGUUCGUUGGGUAGGGGAGCGUUCUGUAAGCCUGCGAAGGUGGCCUGUGAGGGUUGCUGGAGGUAUCAGAAGUGCGAAUGCUGACAUAAGUAACGAUAAAGCGGGUGAAAAGCCCGCUCGCCGGAAGACCAAGGGUUCCUGUCCAACGUUAAUCGGGGCAGGGUGAGUCGACCCCUAAGGCGAGGCCGAAAGGCGUAGUCGAUGGGAAACGGGUUAAUAUUCCCGUACUUGGUGUUACUGCGAAGGGGGGACGGAGAAGGCUAUGUUGGCCGGGCGACGGUUGUCCCGGUUUAAGCGUGUAGGUGUGUGUUCCAGGUAAAUCCGGUUCACUUUAACACUGAGGCGUGAUGACGAGGCACUACGGUGCUGAAGCAACAAAUGCCCUGCUUCCAGGAAAAGCCUCUAAGCAUCAGGUAACAUCAAAUCGUACCCCAAACCGACACAGGUGGUCAGGUAGAGAAUACC